AUUGAACGCUGGCGGCAGGCCUGACACAUGCAAGUCGAACGGCAGCACAGAAGAGCUUGCUCUUUGGGUGGCGAGUGGCGGACGGGUGAGUAAUGUCUGGGAAACUGCCCGAUGGAGGGGAUAACUACUGGAAACGGUAGCUAAUACCGCAUAACGUCGCGAGACCAAAGUGGGGGACCUUCGGGCCUCACACCAUCGGAUGUGCCCAGAUGGGAUUAGCUAGUAGGUGGGGUAAUGGCUCACCUAGGCGACGAUCCCUAGCUGGUCUGAGAGGAUGACCAGCCACACUGGAACUGAGACACGGUCCAGACUCCUACGGGAAGCAGCAGUGGGGAAUAUUGCACAAUGGGCGCAAGCCUGAUUCAGCCAUGCCGCGUGUAUGAAGAAGGCCUUCGGGUUGUAAAGUACUUUCAGCGGGGAGGAAGGCGGUGAGGUUAAUAACCUUGCCGAUUGACGUUACCCGCAGAAGAAGCACCGGCUAACUCCGUGCCAGCAGCCGCCGUAA
rnacentral:rRNA from 1 species